rnacentral:rRNA from 1 species
CAGUCGCCGCGGUAAUACGAAGGGGGCUAGCGUUGUUCGGAAUUACUGGGCGUAAAGCGCACGUAGGCGGAUACUUAAGUCAGGGGUGAAAUCCCGGGGCUCAACCCCGGAACUGCCUUUGAUACUGGGUAUCUCGAGUCCGGAAGAGGUGAGUGGAAUUCCGAGUGUAGAGGUGAAAUUCGUAGAUAUUCGGAGGAACACCAGUGGCGAAGGCGGCUCACUGGUCCGGUACUGACGCUGAGGUGCGAAAGCGUGGGGAGCAAACAGGAUUAGAUACCCGCGUAGUCCCUGUCUCUUAUAC